ACUAAUCAAUCAUUCCAUUCAUUAAUCAACCAACUAAUCAAUCAAUUCAUUCAUUAAUCAACCAACUAAUCAAUCAUUCCAUUCAUUAAUCAACCAACUAAUCAAUCAAUUAAUUCAUUAAUCAACCAACUAAUCAAUCAAUUCAUUCAUUAAUCAACCAACUAAUCAAUCAAUCAAUUAAUUAAUCAACCAACUAAUCAAUCCAUUCAUUCAUUAAUCAACCAACUAAUCAAUCAAUUCAUUCAUUAAUCAACCAACUAGUCAAUCAAUUAAUUCAUUAAUCAACCAACUAAUCAAUCCAUUCAUUCAUUAAUCAACCAACUAAUCAAUCAGCCAACCAACUAAUCAAUCAAUUAAUUCAUUAAUCAAUCAACCAACUAAUCAAUCAAUUAAUUCAUUAAUCAACCAACUAAUCAAUCAAUCAAUUCAUUAAUCAACCAACUAAUCAAUCAGCCAACCAACUAAUCAAUCAAUUAAUUCAUUAAUCAAUCAACCAACUAAUCAAUCAAUUCAUUCAUUAAUCAACCAACCAACUAAUCAAUCAAUCAAUUCAUUAAUCAACCAACUAAUCAAUCAAUUCAUUAAUCAAUCAACCAACUAAUCAAUCAAUUCAUUCAUUAAUCAACCAACGAAUCAAUCAAUUCAUUCAUUAAUCAACCAAACAACUAAUCAAUCAAUUCAUUCAUUAAUCAACCAACUAAUCAAUCAAUUCACCCUCCUGUAGGUUUUAACUCCAACCCUGUUCCUGGAGAGAAACCCUCCUGUAGGUUUUAACUCCAACCCUGUUCCUGGAGAGAGAAACCCUCCUGUAGGUUUUAACUCCAACCCUGUUCCUGGAGAGAAACCCUCCUGUAGGUUUUAACUCCAACCCUGUUCCUGGAGAGAAACCCUCCUGUAGGUUUUAACUCCAACCCUGUUCCUGGAGAGAAACCCUCCUGUAGGUUUUAACUCCAACCCUGUUCCUGGAGAGAAACCCUCCUGUAGGUUUUAACUCCAACCCUGUUCCUGGAGAGAAACCCUCCUGUAGGUUUUAACUCCAACCCUGUUCUUGGAGAGAAACCCUCCUGUAGGUUUUAACUCCAACCCUGUUCCUGGAGAGAAACCCUCCUGUAGGUUUUAACUCCAACCCUGUUCCUGGAGAGAAACCCUCCUGUAGGUUUUAACUCCAACCCUGUUCCUGGAGAGAAACCCUCCUGUAGGUUUUAACUCCAACCCUGUUCCUGGAGAGAAACCCUCCUGUAGGUUUUAACUCCAACCCUGUUCCUGGAGAGAGACCCUCCUGUAGGUUUUAACUCCAACCCUGUUCCUGGAGAGAAACCCUCCUGUAGGUUUUAACUCCAACCCUGUUCCUGGAGAGAAACCCUCCUGUAGGUUUUAACUCCAACCCUGUUCCUGGAGAGAGACCCUCCUGUAGGUUUUAACUCCAACCCUGUUAGCUGAUUUAGAUGGUUAGCUGAUUUAGAUGGUUAGCUGAUUUUAAGUGGUUAGCUGAUUUUAAGUGGUGAGCUGAUUUUAGAUGGUUACAUGGUUAGCUGAUUUAGUUGGUUAGCUGAUUUAGAUGGUUAGCUGAUUUAGAUGGUUAGCUGGUUAGCUGAUUUAGAUGGUUAGCUGAUUUAGAUGGUUAGCUGAUUUAGAUGGUUAGCUGAUUUAGAUGGUUAGCUGAUUUAGAUGGUUAGAUGGUUAGUUGAUUUAGAUGGUUAGCUGAUUUAGAUGGUUAGCUGAUUUAGAUGGUUAGCUGAUUUAGAUGGUUAGCUGAUUUUAGAUGGUUAGUUGAUUUAGAUGGUUAGCUGAUUUAGAUGGUUAGUUGAUUUAGAUGGUUAGCUGAUUUAGAUGGUUAGCUGAUUUAUAUGGUUAGCUGAUUAGAUGGUUAGCUGAUUAGAUGGUGGAUGGUUAGCUGAUUAGAUGGUAGAUGGUUAGCUGAUUAGAUGGUUCGCUGAUUAGAUGGUGGAUGGUUAGCUGAUUAGCUGAUUAGAUGGUUAGCUGAUUAAGAUGGUUAGCUGAUUAGAUGGUUAGCUGAUUAGAUGGUUAGCUGAUUAGAUGUUUAGCUGAUUUAGAUGGUGGAUGAUUAGUUGAUUAGAUGUUUAGCUGAUUUAGAUGGUUAGCUGAUUAGAUGGUUAGUUGAUUUAGAUGGUUAGCUGAUUAGAUGGUUAGCUGAUUUAGAUGGUGGAUGGUUAGCUGUGUUAGAUGGUUAGUUGAUUAGAUGUUUAGCUGAUUAGAUGGUGGAUGGUUAGCUGAUUAGAUGUUUAGCUGAUUUAUAUGGUGGAUGGUUAGCUGAUUAGAUGUUUAGCUGAUUUAGAUGGUGGAUGGU